rnacentral:rRNA from 1 species
AACGAACGCUGGCGGCAUGCCUAACACAUGCAAGUCGAACGAAGGCUUCGGCCUUAGUGGCGCACGGGUGCGUAACGCGUGGGAAUCUGCCCUUAGGUUCGGAAUAACAGCUGGAAACGGCUGCUAAUACCGGAUGAUAUCGCGAGAUCAAAGAUUUAUCGCCUGAGGAUGAGCCCGCGUUGGAUUGGGUAGUUGGUGGGGUAAAGGCCUACCAAGCCGACGAUCCAUAGCUGGUCUGAGAGGAUGAUCAGCCACACUGGGACUGAGACACGGCCCAGACUCCUACGGGAGGCAGCAGUGGGGAAUAUUGGACAAUGGGCGCAAGCCUGAUCCAGCAAUGCCGCGUGAGUGAUGAAGGCCCUAGGGUUGUAAAGCUCUUUUACCCGGGAAGAUAAUGACUGUACCGGGAGAAUAAGCCCCGGCUAACUCCGUGCCAGCCGCCGCAGUAA